UACCCCAUGCACUGGCAAGGAGCUCCGCUGGGGAAGCCAGAAGCUUAAUCAAGUCCCGAAGUAAAUGGAACCAUGGGCAGUCUACCAGAUUAGAAUUUCCUCCGUUAUUUCCUUCUACAAAGAACUUUUGUAACCAUUAGAGAAACAAAAGCACGUUUACAUCCAUCAAUUUCCAUUACUCAAACUUCCCUGCAUUGUAUCUAUUGACAAAGUAUUCACAGAUUAAAUACGAUGCGGGCAAAUAUCAAGAAUCCCUUCUUCAAAAAGCAAUUUACUGGGAAGUCCAAUACAGAAAAUAUCGAAGUGGAGUUGCUCUGAUUGCAAUAAGAUUGAGUAUAGCAGAGUCAGGCUUACUCAGCAACUUCUCCUCCCAUAGGAGUCCUUUAAAACACAGAGAGGAGGGGCUGGCUGGGUGAUAUAGUGAUUGAGUUUGCGUGCUCCACUUCAGUGGCCCAGGGUUUGCAGGUUUGGAUCCUGGGUGCAGAC
rnacentral:lncRNA from 1 species